CUCGCGACUCGCGCCCCCUCCUCCCCUGGAGCCCUCGGUCCCCGCCUCCCCAGGGAUGCCCAAGUUGCACUUGCAGAAAGUUUGUGCUUGGCCUGCGCGCGCAGCGCUCUGCGCUCUGUUGACACGCCUAUGGAGAGCGUGCGCACGCAGUCAGAGUACACCGGGUGUACCCACUUUCUACUCCUACUUUGGAAGAUGCCUGAGCUGCCCUCUGCAGGAGGGUGAACAUCCCGUCUUCAUACCUGUAGUGGUGAUGCCAGAAACGUUUGGACACCCAAUCUGCCCAGCUCUCACGUAGGGAGCAGACAGGAGACCGACCAAGGAAGGUUAUUAAAGUCUAUUGAUUGCAAAACAACUGGAGUGAUUUGGCUCCGCAAAACGCCAGGUGAAGUCAAAAUAAAUCUUUUCCCAAAGGAA